UACGUAGGGUGCAAGCGUUAAUCGGAAUUACUGGGCGUAAAGCGUGCGCAGGCGGUUUUGUAAGUCUGACGUGAAAUCCCCCGGGCUCAACCUGGGAAUUGCGUUUGGAGACUGCAAGGCUAGAAUCUGGCAGAGGGGGGGUAGAAUUCCACGUGUAGCAGUGAAAUGCGUAGAGAUGUGGAGGAACACCAAUGGCGAAGGCAGAUCUCUGGGCCGUAACUGACGCUGAGGAGCG
rnacentral:rRNA from 1 species